CAGUCGCCGCGGUAAUACGUAUGUCGCAAGCGUUAUCCGGAAUUAUUGGGCAUAAAGGGCAUCUAGGCGGCCUAACAAGUCAGGGGUGAAAACCUGCGGCUCAACCGCAGGCCUGCCUUUGAAACUGUAAGGCUGGAGUACCGGAGAGGUGGACGGAACUGCACGAGUAGAGGUGAAAUUCGUAGAUAUGUGCAGGAAUGCCGAUGAUGAAGAUAGUCCACUGGACGGAAACUGACGCUGAAGUGCGAAAGCCGGGGGAGCGAACAGGAUUAGAUACCCCAGUAGUCCCUGUCUCUUAUAA
rnacentral:rRNA from 1 species